rnacentral:rRNA from 1 species
UCGCUCCUACCGAUUGAAUGAUCCGGUGAACUCUUCGGAUCGUGGCAGGCCACCGGUUCGCCGGAAGCUUGCCGCCGAGAAGUUGAGUAAACCUUAUCAUUUAGAGGAAGGAG